rnacentral:tRNA from 1 species
GCCUGUGUAGCUUAGUCGGUAGAACGCGUGCUUUUUAAGCUCGUGGCCGCGGGUUCGAGCCCCGCCGAAGGUG